ensembl:lncRNA ETS2-AS1 ETS2 antisense RNA 1
CCCAUUCCUCUGUGUCUGUAACAGGGGAGCUUCUUCCUUCUUUCUUCUCCCUUCUUUCUUGCCUGUUAAACUCUCUGCUUCUUAAAACCACUCCAUGUAUGUCCAGGUCAUUUUAUCUAAUUUGGAGACGGAGAACCCUGGUGUUCCUCUGCUCAUCAGAGCCGUCUCACCUGCAAGGGCCAGGAUCCAGCACUAGGGCUGCCCUUUAUGUUCAUGCAGCCUCCACUAGGAAGAUCCUCCUUAGCUGCCACCUGCUGUAAAGGGAUCUAUCUAUCUAUCUGUCUAUCUAUCUAUCUAUCUAUCUUUCUAUCUACCUGUCGAGAGAGAGAGAGGUUUAUUAUAAGGAAUUGACUCAUGUGAUUAUGGAGGCUGAGAAGUUCCACAGUCUGCUGUCUGCAAGCUGGAGACCCAGGAAGGCUGCUGGUGCCGUUCCAGUUUGAUUCUGAAGGCCUGAGAACCAGAACUGAUGGUAUGAGUUCUAGUCCAAGUCCACAGAAAUGAAACUGGAGAACCAAAGGUGUAAGUCGCAGUCUGAGGGCAGGAGAACACAAUAACCCAGCUCAAGCAAUUAGGCAGAGAGAAAGAAUUUUCUCUCCCUCCACUUUUUGUUGUUGUUGUUCUACUGAGGCCUUCAAUGGAUUGAAGGAGUUCCACUCAUUAAGUCAAUUAACUUCUGAAGUCUAUUAUUGUCAUUGCCUCCCCAGGUAGGGGAAAUGAGAAGCCUGGGGAUAUGGCUUACAGUGAAGUGUGGCUGGUCCUUUUUUAUUCUCUUGGCCAGGCUCCUUCCCUCUGCCAAGUUGCAGGUGGUCCAGGUGUUUGCUUCCAGAUGUUUAGCAAACAUCUGGUGGAAGGCAAAGAAGGAAAGAUUGCUUAGGGGGACUCUUGCUCCCGUUCCUACCUGCAUCUUCUGAGAGGUCUUCCCCCUUUACAUUCACCUCAGCUCAACAUUGGAAUCCCUGCUCUUUCACUGCACACACUGACCACCCACUGCAGGCUGGGGGUCCUAGAGGAUUUCACGUGCUAGGCUGUCCCAAAUAGAGGAGGUCCUGCUACAGCACCGGCACCAUUAGUCCUUUCUGGGCCGUGCUCUGUGAGCCCUUGAGAGGACAAGAAACCAAUGUCAAAGCCAUGGAAUGAUCCCAUUCAAUUCUCAUCAAGGAAUAGAGAAGACAUAAAAUUCAGCAAAUGGAGGAGCCCACUCAACAUGAAGAUGACAAGGAUGAAGACCUUUAUGAUGAUCCAUUCCCACUUACUGAAUAAUAUCAAGCAUUUUAUUCAACUAUGGAAUGGAAGCAACAGAUUACAGCAGCAUUAACAAGACCUGGGAUACCAUCACCAAUCAAAAUCAUGGAUAUUUCAUAGCACAAGAACGUUGUUUCAGAAUCUCAAAGUACUCCUCCUACUCAACAUGACUUUGAAAUUGCAAUAGUUGUUAGAACGGUCACUGCAGUUUGAUAUAUGAUGUGUUUACAAAGAGGCACAUAUAUUGCUCUUUCAGAAUUAUAACUCUGUAUGCAUUUCAAUGUAAUUGGUUUCCUUUGUCAUCUUCUGAAUUUUAUGUAUUUAAAAAUAUUAUUCUGAUGUUAAUACACAACAAAGAAAGGAUAGAAUUUUCAAUAAAUGGUGUUGGGGAAAUUGGAUAUCCAUAUACAAAAAAUAAAAAUAAAAUUGGAUUCUUAUCUUAAACCCUACACAAAAAUUAACUCAAAA